rnacentral:rRNA from 2 species
UUUAUGGAGAGUUUGAUCCUGGCUCAGGAUGAACGCUGGCGGCGUGCCUAAUACAUGCAAGUCGAGCGAACGGACGAGAAGCUUGCUUCUCUGAUGUUAGCGGCGGACGGGUGAGUAACACGUGGAUAACCUACCUAUAAGACUGGGAUAACUUCGGGAAACCGUAGCUAAUACCGGAUAAUAUUUUGAACCGCAUGGUUCAAAAGUGAAAGACGGUCUUGCUGUCACUUAUAGAUGGAUCCGCGCUGCAUUAGCUAGUUGGUAAGGUAACGGCUUACCAAGGCAACGAUGCAUAGCCGACCUGAGAGGGUGAUCGGCCACACUGGAACUGAGACACGGUCCAGACUCCUACGGGAGGCAGCAGUAGGGAAUCUUCCGCAAUGGGCGAAAGCCUGACGGAGCAACGCCGCGUGAGUGAUGAAGGUCUUCGGAUCGUAAAACUCUGUUAUUAGGGAAGAACAUAUGUGUAAGUAACUGUGCACAUCUUGACGGUACCUAAUCAGAAAGCCACGGCUAACUACGUGCCAGCAGCCGCGGUAAUACGUAGGUGGCAAGCGUUAUCCGGAAUUAUUGGGCGUAAAGCGCGCGUAGGCGGUUUUUUAAGUCUGAUGUGAAAGCCCACGGCUCAACCGUGGAGGGUCAUUGGAAACUGGAAAACUUGAGUGCAGAAGAGGAAAGUGGAAUUCCAUGUGUAGCGGUGAAAUGCGCAGAGAUAUGGAGGAACACCAGUGGCGAAGGCGACUUUCUGGUCUGUAACUGACGCUGAUGUGCGAAAGCGUGGGGAUCAAACAGGAUUAGAUACCCUGGUAGUCCACGCCGUAAACGAUGAGUGCUAAGUGUUAGGGGGUUUCCCGCCCCUUAGUGCUGCAGCUAACGCAUUAAGCACUCCGCCUGGGGAGUACGACCGCAAGGUUGAAACUCAAAGGAAUUGACGGGGACCCGCACAAGCGGUGGAGCAUGUGGUUUAAUUCGAAGCAACGCGAAGAACCUUACCAAAUCUUGACAUCCUUUGACAACUCUAGAGAUAGAGCCUUCCCCUUCGGGGGACAAAGUGACAGGUGGUGCAUGGUUGUCGUCAGCUCGUGUCGUGAGAUGUUGGGUUAAGUCCCGCAACGAGCGCAACCCUUAAGCUUAGUUGCCAUCAUUAAGUUGGGCACUCUAAGUUGACUGCCGGUGACAAACCGGAGGAAGGUGGGGAUGACGUCAAAUCAUCAUGCCCCUUAUGAUUUGGGCUACACACGUGCUACAAUGGACAAUACAAAGGGCAGCGAAACCGCGAGGUCAAGCAAAUCCCAUAAAGUUGUUCUCAGUUCGGAUUGUAGUCUGCAACUCGACUACAUGAAGCUGGAAUCGCUAGUAAUCGUAGAUCAGCAUGCUACGGUGAAUACGUUCCCGGGUCUUGUACACACCGCCCGUCACACCACGAGAGUUUGUAACACCCGAAGCCGGUGGAGUAACCUUUUAGGAGCUAGCCGUCGAAGGUGGGACAAAUGAUUGGGGUGAAGUCGUAACAAGGUAGCCGUAUCGGAAGGUGCGGCUGGAUCACCUCCUUUCU